CUUCGCUCAGGCUCCUGCUGCCUGUCCAGAGCUCCAGACUCCCAGUGGACAGCAGGCUGCCCUCUGGCUUGUUGGUUCUGCACACCUCCUCCCAGGAUGCAGCAACAAGGCACCAUCACAGAAGCAGAAAGCAGCCCUUACCAGACACACAACCAGCCAGAGCCUUCAUUUUGAACUCCCCCACCUCCAGUACAGCGAUAAAUAAAUUUCUAUUGUUUAUAAAUUACCCAGUCUGCGAUAUUCUGGUAUAGCAACACAAAUGGCCUAAGAAAUAAGGUUAGCCUUUGAUUGGUGUCUGGGUACCUGGAUUUGGGGAGGAUUUCCACACUUUCUUGAUAAGUUACUUACAAUGCCUAAGCUAUUUGUACAAUGUGGUUGAUGCUGAAUACCAGUUGUCCUUUGGGGAGUCUAGAAUUUUAGAAUGAGCUUAACAGAG
rnacentral:lncRNA from 1 species